UCCCUGGUAGUCCAGUGGUUAGGACUCCAAGUUUCCAAUACCAGGGGCCUGGGUUCGAUCUCUGGUCAGGGAA
rnacentral:tRNA from 1 species